CAAAAUAAAUGAUGAUCACCUGAUUUCACAAUCAAAACCAGGUUAAACUAUUUUUUUCCUUGAUUUGCCUGCAAAAGUGUGAGCAAUGCCAUGAGUUAGAGGGGACUUUCUGGUCUCAAGUUUUGCUUUUCAGUGAGUUCAGGCUUGCUUUGGAAAAUAGUUGGAACAUUUGGAAGAAAUUGAUCUGAAUUCAGAGUCUGGAGUAAAACAGUAAAGCAGCCCUGCAGGAAGACCACAGUGGCCCCAGUUCAAGCUGCAUUUGGACCUCAGUCUUCCACCUAGGGCAGAACAAACCUGCUGAACAUCCGAAGCAUGUGAAGAGCCGAAUUUACAGGGGACAGAUGGAGAAGUACACAGGCCAGAGUGCAGCGGAGGAGCUGACCUGAGGAAAGCACCGAAGAGCUGUGAACCUGACCCAAGCACAUCUCCCCUCCAGGCUCCUUGCAGCAAGAAGCCCUGCUCCAGUCUGCACCAGGAAAAGACAGCUACGGGGAUGUAACCUCAGGCUUCAACAUCCUCUGGCAUUUUGCUUCCAGAACUCCUACGUUUGUUCAGGUCUCCCUACGUUAGAUCACAUCCCUGAACUGGAUCACAGACUGGUCACCCAAGAAGAUGGACCAACACAAAAAGGACUGUGGUACAGAGAAGAGAAGUUAAAAAAAAAAAAAAAAAAAAAAAAGGCAGAGGGAUUCCUGGAUUAUUGGAAACCACAACAGCCUCAAAAGUCUCUGUAACAUGAAACUGCAGAUAAGGUUGGUCAUAGCCCGUGACGUGCAGCUGACGGCUGAGCCCAUGGGAGAAGAGCCUCCCAGCAGCAUUGUGCAAGGGGCUGAUACCGCGUCCUCCUAAAUCUUGGAGGGCUGAAGCUUAUUUGUACAACAAACAAGGCUUGACUGGAGUUUACCGUGCAGAAUUGUGCCUCUGUAACACAGUUCAGCUGUGUGUAUAUUUCAUAGCAAAGAAAAUAUAGUGAUGACUUCCACUAGGUUUCUUCAUCAGUGGCCAUUGCAUUAAUGCUAAAUGUUUGUGUGACUUGUUUGGGUUAAAAGAAGUGCAUUGGACAGGAUUCUGAAUAAAUGUAAAUUAGAAGUGACUCAUUAAAAUAUUUGGAGUUACAGGCACAAACGGGAUCAGAGUCAAGCCACUUGUCCUAGUUUCUGUCACACAAACACUAACCCUUUAUAAAUCAUUAAUUUCCAGACUGUUUAUUAUCCAGGGGAAGUAACAAAACAGUAGUAUCACAUAACACAUCCUAAGAAUGCCUUGUUCAUUUUAAGAGCAAAUAAAACUAAAUAGCACCAAGUUGUUAGUGAUGCAGCCUAUGAGACCAAGCAGAAAGACAAAAAGGGGAGCUUAAUGGGUCUGAGGCCACAAAAUAAACAGGGGAAGGGGUAAAAAAAGAAAAAGAAAAGUAGUACAAGAGUGACUUCACAUAGAGUAUCUUCACAUAGAUAUUAUUUGUUUACUACCACAUGGAAAUUCCCUGUUCAUUACAUGGUGGUGCUUUCACUGGGGAUGCCACAGCCAUGCUAUCAGAGUGUGAAUGCUUUCCACAGCUGCUGUUACCCUUCAUCAGCUUUCUCCACAGGCAUAGAACAGAGUGGAGCCACCCUUUCAAAAAAUAAUAGUCGAAAUUAAUUACUCUGUCGAGAAAACAACCUUUGGGUUGUUUCAUUUACUAGCCCCCUCUUCUAAUGUGUUUGUCACAUGUUGCCCAGAAGCUGCCCAUGAUGAGGAAAUUACAUUAACGCACAGCUGAGGAUGAGGCAGAGAAAGUGAGCACCGUGUCUGUCCUCGCUAGGACUGUGCUGAAGUUCACGACUUGCCUUUCUAUGGGGCAAGGGGACCUGCCUUGGCUGCAGGAGCCCACCCUGCCACGGGAGCCCACCCUGUGAAGGGAGCCCAUCUGGCUGCGCCAGGCAGGCUGCUGAGUUUCCCAGCCAUGCAACCUGCUUGAAAGCACAGGGAUGGAGGUGCAAAUAUGGAAGUGGGAGUUAGAUAAAACAAGUUUUUUUUCUCACCUAUUUUGUAUCAUUUCAAUGGAUAGUGCUGACAGCUGAGAGUGCACAGCUAUUUAUUCCUUGCACUUUUGCUAAUAGCAGCAACGCCAGACACCGUACUGCUUCAGUACCAUUGAGCCUUGCUAGCACAGGCUGUAUUGGCUUGUUGUCAAUUUAGCUUAAAUCCGUUCCCAGUUUCACUAGUAAAAAGUCCUUUUCUAGCCAAUAUUACUGAGCUUAUAUUGAACUGGCUUUUUUGCUAGCCUUACUUGUCAGUAAAGUAUCGUACUUUUAAAAGUGAUGUUAGCAAAACAGUAAUACAGGCCUCACAGAUGAUUUGGGUCCAUAUGUUAUUUAUUUUAAUCUCUUAAGGUUCCAAAACACUAUAUAUUUACAGUCACUCUUUAAAGUUAUUGUUAGUUACAAAAUAUUAGAAACAUAGUUUCAUCUAUAAAAUGCGUGAUUAAUUUAAUCUUUACCAUACUUUUUUGCAUCAUACAGGAAACAUUUUAGCCUGAUGAAUACCAUGGAUGUAUAAUUAGUGCUUUAUACAGUAAACUUGAUUAUAACUUACACUGUCCACCCUGGCUCCAAAAAUCCUUGCAGAUUUUAAUUCAAUUGCUGCACUUUAUCUGGAUGAAAGCAUUUGAAUUCAAUUAUUAUUAUUCUGCAUGCAUUUGUGCCUUUAUAUAGGUUAGAUGUGGUAGUAGUUUUAAAACAAGUUUAGUGGAAGUCUCAAAUUAGGCAUUAGAGUCUAUAUUUAGGCAUCUAUCAGAUUUUAAAUGCUGACCAUCUGAUUUUCCUAGCUGAGGUUUGCCAAAGUCGGGGUUUAAUGGGUAUUGAGACUGGAAGAUAAAAUUAAAGGGAAACAAAUUUUGAGAUGUUUCUGAAUUUUGAUGGGAAUUAGGCACCUGCCCUGCCUGGACUAUUGUGAAUGCCCUGUUACCUGCUUAUCUGUACCUGCCAAUGCUCAAAUGCCUUUAAAAUCUUGGCAGGAUGCUUUGGAUACCCACAUAACAGUAAACCCAUUAAAAAUCUCCUUGCUCAUUUGAUUUCUUCUUUCCAUGGCUGAGAAACUUUUAGACAUUUUUGGCAUCGAGACAUCCCUUGAGGUAGCUCUGCCCUUUUUCAUUUUAGCUGAAGAGAACUUCAUGCUAUAGCAAGUUUAAUACAUUUUUAAAAAUGGGACCCUCAAAUUGGC
rnacentral:lncRNA from 1 species